rnacentral:rRNA from 1 species
CCUACGGGAGGCAGCAGUAGGGAAUCUUCCACAAUGGGCGCAAGCCUGAUGGAGCAACGCCGCGUGGGUGAAGAAGGUCUUCGGAGCGUAAAACCCUGUUGUUAGAGAAGAAAGUGCGUGAGAGUAACUGUUCACGUUUCGACGGUAUCUAACCAGAAAGGCACGGCUAACUACGUGCCAGCAGCCGCGGUAAUACGUAGGUGGCAAGCGUUAUCCGGAUUGGUUGGACGUAAAGGGAACGCAGGCGGUCUUUUAAGUCUGAUGUGAAAGUCUUCGGCUUAACCGGAGUAGUGCAUUGGAUACUGGCAGUCUUGAGUGCAGAUGAGGAAGGUGGAACUCGAGGUGUAGCGGUGAAAUGCGUAGAUAUAUGGAAGAACACCAGUUGCGAAGGCGGCUUUCUGGUCUGUAACUGACACUGAGGUUCGAAAGUGUGGGUAGCAAACAGGAUUAGAUACCCUAGUAGUC